CCUACGGGAGGCAGCAGUGAGGAAUAUUGGACAAUGGACGAAAGUCUGAUCCAGCUAUGCCGCGUGCAGGAUGACGGCCCUAUGGGUUGUAAACUGCUUUUAUACAGGAAGAAAAACUCCGACGUGUCGGAACUUGACGGUACUGUAAGAAUAAGGAUCGGCUAACUCCGUGCCAGCAGCCGCGGUAAUACGGAGGAUCCAAGCGUUAUCCGGAAUCAUUGGGUUUAAAGGGUCCGUAGGCGGUUUUUUAAGUCAGAGGUGAAAUCCUGCAGCUCAACUGUAGAAUUGCCUUUGAUACUG
rnacentral:rRNA from 1 species